rnacentral:lncRNA from 1 species
UUCAGGCCUAUACACAAACACCACACAUUCUUAUUGGUGGUGAUUUCAACGCACACAUUGCCAACAGAAAAGAACUUUCUGAUGUACAUUACGAGUUUCUCUCACGACAUCCUUACCUCACUCACAAUAGGCAAUCUCGAUGCUAGUUAACAGAGCGGGCAUAGGCCUCCUUGACUUGGCAGCUACUUACAAGCUUCUCAUAACCACAGGACAUGUYAAUGGAGACUUAGGCCAACGAACGUAUACAGGAUAUGAUAACCAAUGUAAUUCUCGUCCAGAUCACUUUAUGUGUUCCUUUAGAACUAUUCUCGCUAUUGCACCGUGCUGAUAUUACAUAUCUUGUAUGUUUUGACCAUGCCGCUCUAUCCAAUUUUUUUGUCCCCUCAUCCAGUCCAACAGGGCAUAUAGAUAAGAGACUUCAAUCACCCAUAUGUAAUUUUUUAUUACCCUCACAAUGUCAGGAAUUCCUUCUACGAUGGCGACCGGAUCGCGCCACCCUUUUUGCUCAAAUCUUCCGUAACAAUGACGAGAAACGUAACCGUUUUUCACAUCAUGUUCGGGCACAAGAUGUUGAUUAUUCCUAUCAGGAGCUCAAAUCUUAGAUAGUACAGACAGCGUGUGAC